rnacentral:tmRNA from 1 species
GGGGAUGAUCGGUUUCGACAGCGAACGUCGAAGCAGGGGAAGCGAGCCGAGGAACGCGGCAAUGAUCUCGUUAACCAUGUGCCGCAAAAAAAUAAUCGCCAACACCAAGCGCGAUUCCUUCGCCCUCGCUGCCUGAGCAGCGACCUGCGAAGUGUCAGCCCGGGGUAGUUUCCGCCCCGGUUCCUGGCAUCAGCUAAGGAAACUCACCGCGUAGGCCCGGUCACGGGACCUACCGGGACAUCGAACAGUGACUGGGCCCGUCGGAGACUUGUCCGCGUGAUCUCCGGGGCCGAGAAAAUCGCAGCGGACUGCGCUCGGAGAAGCCCUGUUUCCACUUCGUUGGACGCGGGUUCGAUUCCCGCCAUCUCCACGA